rnacentral:tRNA from 1 species
CGCGGAGUAGAGCAGCUCGGUAGCUCGUCGGGCUCAUAACCCGGAGGUCGCAGGUUCAAAUCCUGUCUCCGCAACCA